GAUGAACGCUAGCGGCAGGCUUAAUACAUGCAAGUCGAACGGUAAGGUCUCUUCGGAGAUACACGAGUGGCGCACGGGUGCGUAACGCGUAUGCAACCUACCUUUAACUGGGAAAUAGCCCCGAGAAAUCGGGAUUAAUGUCCCAUAUUAUUCUUUGAAUACCUCUUCGAGGAAUGAAAGCUCCGGCGGCUAUUGAUGGGCAUGCGUGACAUUAGCUAGUUGGUGAGGUAACGGCUAACCAAGGCAACGAUGUCUAGGUGUCCUGAGGGGGUUAAGCCCCAGGCUGGUGCUGAGACACGGACCAGACUCCUACGGGGGGCAGCAGUAAGGAGUAUUAGGCAAUGGACGCAAGUCUGACCCAGCCAUGCCGCGUGAAGGAUGAAUGUCCUAUGGAUUGUAAACUUCUUUUAUGCAGGAAAAAUAUCCCGGUCGUGAACCGGGACUGAUGGUACUGUAUGAAUAAGCAUCGGCUAACUCCGUGCCAGCCGCCGCAGUAA
rnacentral:rRNA from 1 species